rnacentral:lncRNA from 1 species
GUGAGUGUAUACUACAAACGCUUUUCGGACAAUAUUGCACUUGCCUGGUUCAGUCGUGAAUGAUCGUGCGUCGAGUAUGGAAGUCUCAAAGGAAGACAUUCGCGAUUUUUAACAUUUUUACUACCUCAAAGGGAAAACUGUGUCGAAAGCGAACAAGAACAUUCCUAUAUAUAUGGGCUCAUUACUCUUUUGAGUUAGAGCAAUUUCGUUUGUAGUGGAGGAGAAUGACGCACCAGAAGCUCUAUGAGCUCAGAUGGGAAGUUCUUAAGCAUAGACCCUACAGUCCAGACCUGCCGUCAAGUAACUACUACCUAUUUCUGUGUAUGACCAACGCACUUGGGGUACACCGAACUUUGGCCUCAAUAGAGGCCUGAGAAAAUUGGUUGUCUGAGCUGUUUGCCAAUAGAGAAAAGCGUUCUACGAAAAGGCCAUUAUGAAGUUGGAUUCUAGGUGGCAACAAGUUAUAAACAAAUUGGAUUAUUGUAACACUUCUUAAAAAGCAUAGAAAUUAUGAGUAAAAUACGAAAUUACUUUUCUCCAACCUAAUAUGCUUCAGGUAAUCAAAGCAAAGUCUUACAGAAUGUCCGUAGAAUCCUAAAAAGAUGUGGAUAAAACAAAAUAACAUUAAAGCAAUCCAAUUUGUAUUUGCAAAACCCUUAUAACAAUA